rnacentral:rRNA from 1 species
CCUACGGGUGGCAGCAGUGGGGAAUAUUGGGCAAUGGGCGCAAGCCUGACCCAGCAACGCCGCGUGAAGGAAGAAGGCUUUCGGGUUGUAAACUUCUUUUAAGAGGGGAGAGAAGAAGACGGUACCUCUUGAAUAAGCCACGGCUAAAUACGUGACAGCAGCCGCGGUAAGACGUAGGUGGCAAGCGUUGUCCGGAUUUACUGGGGGUAAAGGGCGUGCAGCCGGGAAGACAAGUCAGAUGUGAAAUCCCGCGGCUUAACCGCGGAACUGCAUUUGAAACUGUUUUUCUUGAGUACAGGAGAGGUCAUCGGAAUGCCUUGUGUAGCGGUGAAAUGCGUAGAUAUAAGGAAGAACACCAGUGGCGAAGGCGGAUGACUGGACGGCAACUGACGGUGAGGCGCGAAAGCGUGGGGAGCAAACAGGAUUAGAUACCCCUGUAGUC